GGGGGGGGGGGGGGGGGGGGGGGGGGGGGGGGGGGGGGAGGGGGUGGGCCCGGUUGGGUGGGGGGCGGGAGUUGGGGGGGGUUGAGGGACCCGUGGGUGACCUUCCGUUGGCUGUGGGAUUACUGCAGGACCCGGUGGCUUACACCGGCUGGGCGCCCCCGCCGCAUGGUGGGGGUGGUAAAGUUGCCGCGGUUGGGGAUGGAAUCGCGGCUUUUCAGCUUGUUGGUGGGGUAGUGGCUUAUCGAGGCUUGGAUGGGUAGUCGGCCUGAGAGGGUGACCGGCCACAUUGGGACUGAGAUACGGCCCAGACUCCUACGGGAGGCAGCAGUGGGGAAUAGUGUACAAUGGGCGGAAGCCUGAUGCAGCAACGCCGCGUGCGGGAUGACGGCCUUCGGGUUGUAAACCGCUUUCGCCUGUGACGAAGCGUGAGUGACGGUAAUGGGUAAAGAAGCACCGACUAACUACGUG
rnacentral:rRNA from 1 species